GAUGAACGCUAGCUACAGGCUUAACACAUGCAAGUCGAGGGACCGGCGCACGGGUGAGUAACACGUAUCCCACCUGCCCUUUACUCGGUGAUAGCCUUUCGCAAGAAAGAUUAAUACCCGAUGUAAAGGAUGGGGAUGCGUUCCAUUAGGUUGUUGGUGAGGUAACGGCACAUCAAGCCUUCGAUGGAUAGGGGUGCUGAGGGGAAGGUCCCCCACAUUGGAACUGAGACCCGGUCCAAACUCCGACGGGAGGCAGCAGUGAGGAAUAUUUGGCAAGGGGCGUUAGCCUGAACCAGCCAAGUAGCGGGAAGGAUGAAGGCUUAUGGGUCGUAAACUUCUUUUAUAUAAGAAUAUGUAUUAUAUGAAUAAGGAUCGGCUAACUCCGUGCCAGCAGCCGCGGUAAUUC
rnacentral:rRNA from 1 species